rnacentral:rRNA from 1 species
UACGUAGGCAGCAAGCGUUGCUCGGAAUUACUGGGCGUAAAGAGUGUGUAGGCGGUGCUCUAAGUCUGUUGUGAAAUCUCCCGGCUUAACCGGGAGGGUGCGGCGGAAACUGGAGUGCUUGAGGGUGGGAGAGGUAAGCGGAAUUCCUGGUGUAGCGGUGAAAUGCGUAGAUAUCAGGAGGAACACCUGUGGUGUAGACAGCUUACUGGACCACUUCUGACGCUGAGAUACGAAGCGUGGGUAGCAAACAGG